UGGGGAAUAUUGCACAAUGGGCGAAAGCCUGAUGCAGCGACGCCGCGUGAGGGAUGACGGCCUUCGGGUUGUAAACCUCUUUCAGCAGGGACGAAGCGCAAGUGACGGUACCUGCAGAAGAAGCACCGGCUAACUACGUGCCAGCAGCCGCGGUAAUACGUAGGGUGCAAGCGUUGUCCGGAAUUACUGGGCGUAAAGAGUUCGUAGGCGGUUUGUCGCGUCGUUUGUGAAAACCAGCAGCUCAACUGCUGGCUUGCAGGCGAUACGGGCAGACUUGAGUACUGCAGGGGAGACGGGAAUUCCUGGUGAAGCGGUGAAAUGCGCAGAUAUCAGGAGGAACACCGGUGGCGAAGGCGGGUCUCUGGGCAGUAACUGACGCUGAGGAACGAAAGCGUGGGUGGCGAACAG
rnacentral:rRNA from 1 species